UGCAGUCGAGCGAACAGAUGAGAAGCUUGCUUCUCUGAUGUUAGCGGCGGACGGGUGAGUAACACGUGGGUAACCUACCUAUAAGACUGGGAUAACUCCGGGAAACCGGGGCUAAUACCGGAUAAUAUUUUGAACCGCAUGGUUCGAUAGUGAAAGACGGUUUCGGCUGUCACUUAUAGAUGGACCCGCGCCGUAUUAGCUAGUUGGUAAGGUAACGGCUUACCAAGGCGACGAUACGUAGCCGACCUGAGAGGGUGAUCGGCCACACUGGAACUGAGACACGGUCCAGACUCCUACGGGAGGCAGCAGUAGGGAAUCUUCCGCAAUGGGCGAAAGCCUGACGGAGCAACGCCGCGUGAGUGAUGAAGGUCUUCGGAUCGUAAAACUCUGUUGUUAGGGAAGAACAAAUUUGUUAGUAACUGAACAAGUCUUGACGGUACCUAACCAGAAAGCCACGGCUAACUACGUGCCAGCAGCCGCGGUAAUACGUAGGUGGCAAGCGUUAUCCGGAAUUAUUGGGCGUAAAGCGCGCGUAGGCGGUUUCUUAAGUCUGAUGUGAAAGCCCACGGCUCAACCGUGGAGGGUCAUUGGAAACUGGGAAACUUGAGUGCAGAAGAGGAGAGUGGAAUUCCAUGUGUAGCGGUGAAAUGCGCAGAGAUAUGGAGGAACACCAGUGGCGAAGGCGGCUCUCUGGUCUGUAACUGACGCUGAUGUGCGAAAGCGUGGGGAUCAAACAGGAUUAGAUACCCUGGUAGUCCACGCCGUAAACGAUGAGUGCUAAGUGUUAGGGGGUUUCCGCCCCUUAGUGCUGCAGCUAACGCAUUAAGCACUCCGCCUGGGGAGUACGACCGCAAGGUUGAAACUCAAAGGAAUUGACGGGGACCCGCACAAGCGGUGGAGCAUGUGGGUUAAUUCGAAGCAACGCGAAGAACCUUACCAAAUCUUGACAUCCUUUGACCGCUCUAGA
rnacentral:rRNA from 1 species